UUAUUUAUCUAUUGGUUUAAUUGAGAAAGUGGAUUAAAUAAAAUAUUUUUCUGUUUUAGUAGGGAUAUUGAAUAAAUUAUUUUUGAUAUAGGGGAUUAGUAUUGUAGAAGAAAAUUUAUUUUACUGUAAAAGAAAAAAUCUUAUUUUGUACCUUGUGUAUCAGGGUUUACCAAAAAAAAAAUAAAAUUUUAUUUUUCUCGAAUUUGGAAGAGUUACCUGAGUAUUUCUUUUGUUGUGGCAAAAAUAUUUUUAAUAUUUAGGUAGGGGUGAAAUGUCAAUCGAUUCCAAAUAUAUCUAGUUUUUUAAGAAAAAAAUUUAAUUUUUUUUUACUCAUAGUAAUUUUCUAUUUUGUUAGUAGGUUAUUAGGUAAAAGCAAUAGUUUAGGGGUUGAGCUUUAUACUAAACCAAUAAAAUAAAAAAUUUAUACUGGGUUAAAUGAGUAGGAUUUAAAGUGUCUUUAAGUGAUUUAUAUCUUUAUUAUUAAAUGAUAAGAUUUUUUCUAUUAAUUUAUUUUUUUUAUUAAAAUUUAGGUAUAAAUUAAGGUUAUCUAGGAAAAAUGGUAAAAUUAGUAUAAUUGGAUUUAAUAAUUUUUAUUAUUUAAAGGUUCAUUUAAGGAAUUCGGCAAAUAUUUUUCCCACCUGUUUAUUAAAAACAUGGCUUUUUGAUAAUAAUUUAAGGUCUAACCUGCCCAAUGAUUAAAUUAAAUGGCCGCGGUAUACUAACCGUGCAAAGGUAGCAUAAUCAUUAGUUUUUUAAUUGAAAGCUUGUAUGAAAGGUUGAAUGAGGAAAAUUCUGUCUCGAGUGAAAUUUUUUAAAAUUUUAUUAUUUUGUGAGAAGGCAAAAAUUUAUAUAAAAGACGAGAAGACCCUAUAGAGUUUUAUAAUUUGGGUAUAAAUGGUAAUUGGAAUUUUAUAUUAGAUUUAUUAAGAUUAUUUGGUUGGGGUGAUUAAAUAACUUAAAAAACUUUUUUUUACUAUUUACAUUUAUAUAUGAAUAGAUGAUCCUUAUUAAAGAUUAAAAGAAAAAAUUACCUUAGGGAUAACAGCGUAAUUUUUCUAGAGAGCUCUUAUCGAAAGAAGAGUUUGCGACCUCGAUGUUGGAUUAAAAUUUAGGUUUGGUGCAGCAGCUAAAUUAUUGGGUCUGUUCGACCCUUAAAAUUUUACAUGAUCUGAGUUUAGACCGGCGUGAGCCAGGUUGGUUUCUAUCUUUAUAAAAUAAUAUUUUUUAGUACGAAAGGACCAAAAGUAUGCCAAAUUGAUUAUUCAAAUGAAUGUCAUUAUUGCUUUG
rnacentral:rRNA from 1 species